UACGAAGGGUGCGAGCGUUGUUCGGAAUUACUGGGCGUAAAGGGUUCGUAGGCGGGAAGAUAAGUUAAGUGUGAAAUCCCCAAGCUCAACUUGGGACGUGCACUUAAAACUAUUUUUCUUGAGUGUUGGAGAGGGUGGUGGAAUUGCUGGUGUAGGAGUGACAUCCGUAGAGAUCAGCAGGAACAUCGGAGGCGAAAGCGACUGCCUGGCCAAACACUGACGCUGAGGAACGAAAGCGUGGGGAGCAAACAGG
rnacentral:rRNA from 1 species